GAUGAACGCUGGCGGCGUGCCUAACACAUGCAAGUCGAACGGAGCUGCUUUGAUGAGAUCUUCGGAUGGAUUUAAAACAGCUUAGUGGCGGACGGGUGAGUAACGCGUGGGUAACCUGCCUCACACUGGGGGAUAACAGUUAGAAAUAGCUGCUAAUACCGCAUAAGCGCACGGUUCCGCAUGGAACAGUGUGAAAAACUCCGGUGGUGUGAGAUGGACCCGCGUCUGAUUAGCCAGUUGGCGGGGUAACGGCCCACCAAAGCGACGAUCAGUAGCCGGCCUGAGAGGGUGAACGGCCACAUUGGGACUGAGACACGGCCCAAACUCCUACGGGAGGCAGCAGUGGGGAAUAUUGCACAAUGGGGGAAACCCUGAUGCAGCGACGCCGCGUGAGUGAAGAAGUAUUUCGGUAUGUAAAGCUCUAUCAGCAGGGAAGAAAGUGACGGUACCUGAAUAAGAAGC
rnacentral:rRNA from 1 species